rnacentral:rRNA from 1 species
AUUNGUACUCGAUCACUAUACGGCGA